CCUACGGGAGGCAGCAGUGGGGAAUAUUGGACAAUGGGCGAAAGCCUGAUCCAGCAAUGCCGCGUGAGUGAUGAAGGCCUUAGGGUUGUAAAACUCUUUUACCAGGGAUGAUAAUGACAGUACCUGGAGAAUAAGCUCCGGCUAACUCCGUGCCAGCAGCCGCGGUAAUACGGAGGGAGCUAGCGUUGUUCGGAAUUACUGGGCGUAAAGAGUACGUAGGCGGUGAUUCAAGUCAGAGGUGAAAGCCUGGAGCUCAACUCCAGAACUGCCUUUGAAACUAGAUCGCUAGAAUUGUGGAGAGGUUAGUGGAAUUCCGAGUGUAGAGGUGAAAUUCGUAGAUAUUCGGAAGAACACCAGUGGCGAAGGCGACUAACUGGACACAUAUUGACGCUGAGGUACGAAAGCGUGGGGAGCAAACAGGAUUAGAUACCCUGGUAGUCCACGCCGUAAACGAUAGAUAACUAGCUGUUCGGGGUCUACGAUCCUGAGUGGCGCAGCUAACGCAUUAAGUUAUCCGCCUGGGGAGUACGGUCGCAAGAUUAAACUCAAAGGAAUUGACGG
rnacentral:rRNA from 1 species